AUGACACGGAGGAGGAAAGUGAAUGCCUUUUCUGUCCUGCUGUGUGAAUGGCAGGCUGUGAGGGCCAAAUCCUGCCGCCCGCCCUGGGGAAGGGCCUUCUCAUUUUUCUCACCUGUUCUGGAGCCCUGGAAGGCCGGUGGAGUGAAGCUGAUGCCAGGACCCUGUGAGGAGAGACCUUCUGGAAGAUUCUGCUGUCAGAAAAUAAGUCGGGAGUCAAGAAUUGCUGUCUCGAUCCAGCUCUGUGAGGUUGCUUAACCUCUCUGAGCCCUGAUUACAAAAUAUGACGGCCGUGGUGAAACCUGACAUUUGCUAGGAUCCCUCUAAUUAUACCCUGUGUAUCUUUGAUUUUCUGUGAGCUUCGGAGCCAGCCACCUUCAGGAGUCAGGGCAAUGGCUGUGAAAGGACAGCCCCUCUUCCUGUGGGGAAUGGUGGCUGGCGAGUCCACAGAGCCUCUCAGCCACAGGAUGGGCUCAUGCCAGUGCGCUCCUAGCCCUCCCUUGCCGUGUGCCUGGGUGGGGCGGGAGGGGCGUCAGCUCCUCAGGUCCGUGCUUCAUUCCCCUUGGCCUCCCCCUCUGUCUCUGCCUUGAUCCUCCUCAGCCUCUCCCGCAGGAGCCACCGACAGGCAUGUCCCAUUCUGCAGCCAGUUCUGACCAAGGCAGGAAAUGGAUGUGGAGCCUCAGCCUGCCACUGGAGGGAUGAGGGGGCUGGAAUUCGGUCUCAUGGUUUCAAUCAGUAACAAUCGUGCCUUGGGUAAACCUCAGAGGCGACGGUGCUACCACCGCUCAAAGCUGAUAGUAAGUAGCGUUCUUCAGAUGUGGGAUCCAGACGCUUAGGCACGAUUUGCAGGCUCCUGGGGGCCUUCCUUCUGCUCUCGGUCUCCUUUGCUCAAAUCCGAAUGAGGACUGGGUGUGUCCGAGGCAGCCGGGCAGCCUGCAACUUUCAGAAUUUCCUAUGCAUCCCCAUCCCCCAGUGGCGUCAGCAGCAGAUUCCCAAAUCCACAAUCUGACCGAAGUCUUGUCUAAUAUCCAGACCCUACUUCCUCUUCCUUGAGGCUUGGGGCCGCCACAGGGCUCGGCAGCAUGCUGGGCAGGGUCCUGUUGGGGAUGGACAGCCUGGGGAUCCCACUGGCGCCUGGACUCUGCCGGUGUCUCCUUUCCUCAGGCCCUUAGUCCUCACCCACAGGAAUCACCCCUGAGCUUGCCUUGCAUGGCUUAGUGCCCUCCCUAGAGUGUCCUCCAAGGCUGAACAAGCAGCCCAGAGUCCCAACACGCUUGGCUCCUUAAGCCUGCUUCUUUCAUGCCCUGGAAAAGCAAGAGCAGACCAAUAAAUGCCUUUUGAAAGAAU
rnacentral:lncRNA from 1 species